UACAGAGGUGGCAAGCGUUGUUCGGAAUUACUGGGCGUAAAGGGCGCGUAGGCGGCCUACUAAGUCAGACGUGAAAUCCCCCGGCUUAACCUGGGAACUGCGUCUGAUACUGGAAGGCUUGAGGAUGGGAGAGGGAUGUAGAAUUCCAGGUGUAGCGGUGAAAUGCGUAGAUAUCUGGAGGAAUACCGGUGGCGAAGGCGGCAUCCUGGACCAUUACUGACGCUGAGGCGCGAAAGCUAGGGGGAGCCAAACGGGG
rnacentral:rRNA from 1 species